AACAGCUCAUCUCUAGGAAAGUGUCACCUAAAGUUUGUCUGUCUGCACACCUGAUGAGCUAAUGAGGGGAUGCCAUGAAUGCCCUGGGCGUUCCCCGAGUGAACCGGGUUAGCGUUGAUUGCAUUCUUUUUGGGACCAGGCUGUCUCCUGGCCAUGAGCCGACGGCGAAGUCGUCUCAAAACGAACGUGACGAUUCCUGGGACUUUGACAGUACUGAUGAUGGAGUUGAGUCGGGUGACUCCCACCCAGAUGAAGAGGAUCAGGAGGAGUUUCACUCUUUCUAUGACUGCACAGUCUUCCCCUCGAUGCUGAUGCCCCAGAAUGGCUAAGGAAAGAGGAGUAAAGAGUAAAAACAUAAAUGCUAUAUUUGGAGCAGUUCUUCCUGUCAAGUUCCAUGUACUGUCUGGGCAUGUUUGAGAUAGACUGCAUUGCGGUUGAUCUGCUCAGAAUAACUUCUACAAAUCACUUUGCGUUCCAAAUAACUCCUCAUUAUGUGAUCAAGACUAGUGAUUCUGUGUCUUGCCUUGCUCAAAAUGAUCCCUUCAAACACGCUGAUUAUCUCCAGCUUAGUCCUGCUCCAACUCUUGACCUUUCUUUGGAACAUUGGGACCCCGCUCCCUUAGCAAAGUGCCCUCCCUUCAAUACUGUUACUUUCAAGAACUUGAAGUGUCAUACAUUGUGUACCGGUAUGCGUAAAUAGUUAGUUUUACUCUGUUAACUCUUUGUUACAUGACCUUUGUUUAGUUCAGUAUCUGCAGUCCUUUAGAUUGGUGUGUUUAGAUGGUAAUGUUUGACCCGUAUAUUUUCAAUGUAUUGGCAUGAAGACGGAGAACCCUGACCCAUAAUCAGGCUCAAUAUUGUGUAUAGUGUGUUAAACAACAUUUCUCCAUGGACAGGAAGUAAGAAGAGGGUUGAACAUUAAAUCUGUCAUUCUUUUAUACCAACAUAUACUUUUUCAAACCAGAUUUGACCAACCACAGACCAAAAACCAAACAAUAUAUCCAAUCAGAUCAAACCAACGUUCGCUAAGAUGGGUCACACCUUAUUGCAGGGCCAGAGAUGGGCAGUAUUUGAAAGAGAUGGAGACCUGCACACACUGUCCAAAACUGAGGCUUGAAUGCAAAAUAAAAUGUUUAUUAUAACAUCAUGGUGCCCAAAAAAAUCAUUGCAUAAAUGAAAGGCGAAAACAAAACACAAACGUUUCGGUCUCAGGCGAAAUGAGUGUCUUCAGCAGCUCUGCCAUUGGCAAACAAUACACUACCCAACAGCUCCCCCCACAUGCAGCUCUUCUACCGUCAUAUACCUUAUCUCCUGUCCAUGCAAUAAGCAAUACGGGGGCAAAACCAGUUGACAGAUAAGAACACGUAUUAUAGAACACGAGUGCUGUAAGGAGAAAUGACCCCAAAUCCCCUAUUGGACGUCAUUUCUCAAAGGCCGGUCACCCCCAUCUCCUCCAUGUCCUUCUGUGCUAUACAGCAGAUAAAACAUUCACGUAGGGGUGGUAAUCUUGAACUCAGUCUUCUCCAGACAGAAUGCAGGUGUAUGUUCUAUUUAAAAACUCCACCCAUCAGGCAUGAAUGAAGAAUUGUUAUUGAAGUGUUUUCUGUAAGUGACAUAUUGCCUCUUAUUGGUGUUUGCUACCUCCAUCUAGUGGUAUCUCUCUAACUUCCUACUUACCACCCUGUGUUAUUUAUUCUGAGGAAAUUUUCACAUGGUAUAUGUUAAAGCAAUAAUUGAUGAUAUUUCUCUGUCCGCUUUUGUAUAUAAUCUAGAUCAUGCAUUCUAUUCUACUAGUGUGAUUCAUAGUAUAAUGUGUUUUCUUGCUUGAUCAUGUGACAAGCAAUUAUCCCCUUUCACCCUGCAUUGGUAUCAGAAGUCUGAUGGCCCUAUGGUGUGAUACGUGUCUGCUAAAUUAAUUCAAUAUAAUGUCAAAAUAAACAAUUGCAAAGCAUGCUGAGUAUUAUUCUAAUGAGCUCCACCCCAAAACAAGGCCAAUACUAAUACCCAGUAUGCUUUGCAAUUAAUUUUGGUAUGUUAAUAUACAUUUACAUUUUGGUCAUUUAUUUAUUUUACCUUUAUUUAACUAGGCAAGUCAGUUAAGAACAAAUUCAUAUUUACAAUGACGUAAAACUUUUCUGUAACCGUUACUGUGAAUAUUGUUACUGUUCGGGCCGGCUAGUUGCAGAUGUAUUUUAAAAUACAAAAUACAUGUAUUUUAAUUAAAUACAUGACAAAAUACAAGUACAAUUUCAAAAUACCAUAAAGAUCAAUGUAUUUUUGUCAUUUUUGCCGAUACUAGUCCUGGAGUGCCGCAGGCACUUCAUGUUUUUGAUUUAACCGAC
rnacentral:lncRNA from 1 species